rnacentral:rRNA from 1 species
UGACGGUACCCGCAGAAUAAGCCCCGGCUAACUUCGUGCCAGCAGCCGCGGUAAUACGAAGGGGGCUAGCGUUGUUCGGAAUCACUGGGCGUAAAGCGUACGCAGGCGGAUUGAUAAGUCAGGGGUGAAAUCCCGGGGCCAACCUCGGAAUUGCCUUUGAUACUGUCUGUCUCGAGUUCGGGAGAGGUUGGCGGAAUUCCUAGUGAGAGGUGAAAUUCGUAGAUAUUAGGAAGAACACCAGUGGCGAAGGCGGCCAACUGGCCCGAUACUGACUCAUGUACGAAAGCGUGGGGAGCAAACAGGAUUAGAUACCCUGGUAGUCCACGCUGUAAACUAUGGAUGCUAGCCGUUGGGGAGCUUGCUCUUCAGUGGCGCAGCUAACGUCUUAAGCAUCCCGCCUGGGGAGUACGGUCCCACAUAGAUUAAAACUCAAAGGAAUU